CCGACACUGUAAAUUUGUAAUUCUCUACUUCGGGUACACAAUAAUACCACGGAUGUAGAAUCUGACAUGGUAUCUUUACAGGGUCAAACAUUAUACUUAAACGGAAAUAACACUAAGGCCGCGCUCUCUCCGAGCCUUUGACAUUCAUCAAGCAGACGUUGGCAGUAAAUUAUUUUACACUCAUUUGAGCCUGUUCAGCUA